UACAGAGGUCUCGAGCGUUGUUCGGAUUCAUUGGGCGUAAAGGGUGCGUAGGUGGCGCCGUAAGUCGGGUGUGAAAUUUCGGAGCUUAACUUCGAAACUGCAUUCGAUACUGCGGUGCUUGAGGACUGGAGAGGAGACUGGAAUUCAUGGUGUAGCAGUGAAAUGCGUAGAGAUCAUGAGGAAGACCAGUGGCGAAGGCGGGUCUCUGGACAGUUCCUGACACUGAGACACGAAGGCCAGGGGAGCAAACGGG
rnacentral:rRNA from 1 species